UGGGGAAUUUUGGAUAAUGGGGGAAACCCUGAUCCAGCCAUCCCGCGUGUGCGAUGAAGGCCUUCGGGUUGUAAAGCACUUUUGGCAGGAAAGAAACGUCAUGGGUUAAUACCCCGUGAAACUGACGGUACCUGCAGAAUAAGCACCGGCUAACUACGUGCCAGCAGCCGCGGUAAUACGUAGGGUGCAAGCGUUAAUCGGAAUUACUGGGCGUAAAGCGUGCGCAGGCGGUUCGGAAAGAAAGAUGUGAAAUCCCAGAGCUCAACUUUGGAACUGCAUUUUUAACUACCGGGCUAGAGUGUGUCAGAGGGAGGUGGAAUUCCGCGUGUAGCAGUGAAAUGCGUAGAUAUGCGGAGGAACACCGAUGGCGAAGGCAGCCUCCUGGGAUAACACUGACGCUCAUGCACGAAAGCGUGGGGAGCAAACAGG
rnacentral:rRNA from 1 species